GCAGACAUAAUGCCGAUGGAUGGAAUGACGAUGCAGAUGACUUUUCCAGUUAUGUCUAAUUUUAAUAAAGAAACAAUGAGAACCCAGAUCGCCAGUGCUUUGGGGACUCAGCCAUACAACCUAAUGGUGGAACAAGUGUCGUCUGGUACCGCAGCCAGCGAAGGCUGUAUGCAAGCCACGGUGUUUUUCAUUGGUUCAGAGUCCAACACACUGUACAAUAAACUCGACUCCAUGAUGAAACAGAGCCCCGAUACUCUAGGGGCGUACGCUCCCACAUGUGCUGGGUGCUCUAAUACAUGUAAUUAUUUGGUGCUGGUUUUGGGAGUAGUGAUUUGCUUACAACAAUAUUUAUCUACGUGGAGAUGACAGGCCUAGGGUGGAACUCGUCAAAUGCAAUAUACUCCAUAUCACAGUCUCAGGGUGGAGGAUGGGGUCGGGUGGGGCAUGAUAUGGUCUCGUUAGCCCCACUCCGGCCAGCCACAAAUACCAAGCGAUGCCUUAUAAACUGCUAUACUUUAAAACCUGCUGCUUGUUUAAACUGUGACAUUUUCCACGUUUUCCGUUUUGUUAAAACUUUUUCAUACGUUUCCAUAUAUAUACAUAUCAGCUGUGAAUGACCAUUGUGUUCUUGUAUAACAUAUAAUUACGUGAUGGUUGAUAAUAUAUUAUAUUUGAAAUUUG
rnacentral:misc_RNA from 1 species